UCCGACCUGGUUACAGUGGAGGUAAGAGGUGGAGAGGUGAAUGAGAUUGAGCUAAGUGGAUCGCAGAAGACUUUACCUGAUAGGUUUUUGUUAGGAAAAAAAAUAUCUCAAGUUAAAAAGUCUCAAGAGAGAAACUUAAAAAUUGUGUACCAAAAAAAAAAAAUUUAUAGAUGCCCCAAACUGAAAUUUAUGCAGAUUUAUUUAGAUUUGACCUGCUGAUACCAAUUCCUAGCGUGGCCUUGUAGCACUCAUGGCGGACAGCUGUUCCUCGAUGGGCAGAGUAGUCAUCCUGCGCUUGAAACAUUGUGGGCUCAGUUCCAGCUUCCUCCCAUAGCAUAUGUUAACGUGCCCCACAGCAAGGCAUUUUACCCCAAGUUUUCUAAUGAUGUAUCAAUCUAUGAAUAUGUGAAUGUUUUUGUGUGUGAAUGGGUGAA